UUGUUUUUUCUUGUAUAAAGUCGCUUAGCUCACUUAUGCACUUACUUUUAUUAAAGCAAGCUUUCUUAUUAUAACCAUUUUGUGGCAGUUUUUCCUGUUUCGGUUUAUUUCUAAUUUUAGUCUUGAGAGCAAGAGACAUUCCUACGGCAUCGUGAGUGUUCCAACCCAUGCAUAUGUAAUCUGCCUGUCUGUUCAGAUGUCAUCUUCAUUUACAUGAUGACACAGAUUAAAUAGAAGUUAUUCCACUGGAAAUGUCGAGAGUCAUGCAGCAAGUAACGAGUCCAGUGCCAUCUCCUGCAGUUGUUGGACCUUCAAGCAAUUUCAGCACGACAUCUGUUUUAUCUAUUCCAAAACAUUAUUGAAAACCUCCAGAACUGCAUGGUCAAAGAGGUAGACAUGAAGAGAAAAAGGAUUAUAUGACUAUCUAUGGACUCCAUGAUAGAUACCUAUGGAGGCAGGCCAACUGACACAGAAACUCUGCAACUGACUGGGACACUGAUGGCAUUGUAUCCGAUACUGAGGGAUAAUACAAACAAUGGAAUCUGGGAGAAAUAUGUAAUUGGGCACUUAGAUCCGAUAGAUUAAACGGACAUUGUUCUCACGUUACCGGUUUAAUCAAAUCAUUACCUGGGCUAAAACAAAGCUACACCAGUAUCCCAUAGCAGUGGAAUGACUUCCUCAGACUGAUAAAGUUAAACCAGUUGUUAUGCGAACCACUUAGGAUAGAAAACUGAAGCCUAUAGAGUGCCGCAUAGAUGUUAAUUUCAAAAUUCCCAGAUGAACAACAUUAGAUGUAGACAAUUUGGCAGAAAUCAACAGGCUGCUGUUUGAACAGAGUUUGGGUGUUAGUAGUAACAGUCUUUGGCCCUGUUCCUUUAGGAUCUUUUCUCAGUUACCAGAAAAUAAUGAUCAAGAAAAAUAAGCAGAGGAAGUGGGGAUGGUGUGGAAAAUAGAAAUAUCACUCAAUUAAGACCAGUAAUUGGGCAUCUGUUAGGCAGUUGCUGAGGCUCACCUUGGAGGAAUGAGUCCUGAUCUUACCAGAUAUGUCAGAGAAAAGCAGAUCUCAGAAGCUGCAGAAGAUGUACCCAUUAUUCAUAAAACCAGAAUUUAUUGACGACACUGGGCGGAAUGUAGCUCAGGAGCAUAAAGGCCUAGCAGACAGGACAUUCUGGACAAUGACUAGGAAAAUAAGAGACAAAAUGGCAUUCCUUUUGUUCAUCAAGGACAAAGUGCUGCUGAAGUGCUCCCCAGCUGGCUGAGCUGAGGUCAUACUGUCAUGGAGUUGUACUGUUUGGUGGAUGAGGCAUAUCUAAGUAACCUGAAUCGAUCCUUGCUGUUCAACAGAAGUUGCAAGAACUUAUCCAUGACAACACUAAACAAAGCAAUGAGGUCAUACCAGUCAUUCAUAGAUGCUGUGCCUGAGGAAAAUAUAUUGUAGAACCAGAAAUUUUUGCUAUCUUCCCAGUAAGUGUCACAGAAAUAAACAUGUUGUGAUAGGACUUUAGUGGUUCAAUAUUGAAAUGAAAAUGACAAAAGAAUAUUUAAAAAAAUUAGGAAAUCAUUUUAUGCUACUACAUGCAGAGAAUAGAAAACGAAAAGGCCAACUUUUUUAGCUCACCUGUCACAUAGUGACAGGGCGAGCUUUUGUGAUUGCCCGUCGUCCAUCCAUCCGUACAGUUAGCUCUGUUCAGUUUUAUUUCUGGGAGUAUACAUAUAGCUCUGUUCAGCUUUAUUUUUGAGAGUGUACAUAUAACUCUGUUCUGUUUUAUUUCCGCGAGUAUACAUAUAGCUCUGUUCAAUUUUAUUUUUGAGAGUAUACAUAAUAGCUCUGUUCAGUUUUAUUUCCGCGAGUAUACAUAUGGCUCUGUUCAGUUUUAUUUUUGAGAGUAUACAUAUAGCUCUGUUCAGUUUUAUUUCUGAGAGUAUACAUAUAGCUCUGUUCAGUUUUAUUUCGGAGAGUAUACAUAUAGCUCUGUUCAGUUUUAUUUUUGAGUGUGUAAAUAUAGCUCUGUUAAAUUUUAUUUCCAAGAGUGUAAAUAAAGCUCUGUUCAGUUUUAUUUCUGAGUGUGUAAAUGUAGCUCUGUUCAGUUACAUUUCAGAGAGUGUAAAUAUAUCUCUGUUCAUAGUUUUAUUUCUGAGAGUGUAUACAGUUUUAUGAUGUGUGUGUGUGUGUUCAGUUGCAAGAAAGAAAAUGUUCAGCAUUUACUAUAGUUCAUGUGUGGCUGAGUUGUAAUGGUCCAUGACAUUGGAACACUUGAAUACCAUUUCCUUCAGAUGGAUGCAGAAUUCUUUCAUGUGAGGAGUUUGAUGGUUGUACCCAGGUCUUCUUUAUGUACCCAUGUAAAUUUGAAAUGCCACUACUUUUUGUUUUGCAGGUUGAAACUUUUAACAUGUCAAAUCAGAUGUACUUCAUACUUGUUAUACAUACUUUAUGCCGUUGUGAUGAAAAUAUUGCAUUGUUUUUGUGUGUUUUGUCUAUUAUGAUUGCAGUAAGUAAACUUUAAACUUUA
rnacentral:lncRNA from 1 species